UGUAUUGGGAUUUAUUUCAGAAGUGCAAUGUGGAUAGUUUAAGAAGGACAAAGGGACGUUUAUAAAGACCGGCAAGUUCUUUCUAGAACAAACAGGUCUGUCAUAAUGACACACACGGCUGCUCUCUGUCACAAGGCACAAUAACAGCGGAUACUAUCAAUAUUCUUUCUGAGAAACAGCGAGAAAUAUUGUUGUUGUUUUUUAAUGAUAAUACGGUGCCUUUAGUUAAGUGACAGUGAAGAAAGGGGGAGGCAGAGGUGACGACACACGAUAACUGGUCCCGGGCGGGAUUCGUACCCCGGUCAUCAGGACGGAUUCAAACCCGGGGAUAUGCUCUACCAACUGAGCUAUACGACUGGUAAUGCAUUUCAAACGUGGUGGGCAGCUAACGGCCAUGCGAAACCCCUCCAAAGACACAAAGCACUUUGUUCGGGCUCUACUUUCCCGACGUAACACCGAGGCGAGGAGGAACACGUUUCUGUGGGAAACACACUCAGGCACCUAGCUUACACCCGCAGCAUCCCUGCUAACCUGCGGGAAAAGCACCGAGGUGUCAGGUACUCACUGCAACAACAAACACCGUGCUUAAACCGAGCGCUAAACAACAGCGUUACUACAACACAAACAAGAGAGGGACGCCAGCGCGAGCAGACAGAUUAGUAGUAGCAAAUCCGAGGCUGACAAGGGGCUCCCGUAGUCUGCUCCACUCAGCCAUAGUAAAGCUCAAUGGUUGCUUAUUAUGUUGGCAGCGACUUACCCGUUUUCCCUGCUCGUCUGCGUUCAGCUCCUCAGAAAUAAGUCCACAUUGUUGUGUCCCCGCAGCCCUCCGACAGCCCAAAACGCUGAAUUUAAAGCACCGUAGGCAUCAGUCGGUGUGUAGAAGGGUCUCGUGUGAGUGUGUGAGGAUGAAACGCCUUUCCUCCUCUAGGAGCUGCAUUGUUGACAUUGUCUUGCUGACGUCAUGCUGGCCCUCAUUCACAACAACGGCCGAGCCCCCCUGCUCUACGGUGAUGUGCCCCCCUCCCGUUAUACGCCUAACGUUAGCCUACAAAGGAACUACAUCACCCUGCAUGGCGGCGUGCAACCACCACAAGCUAAGCUAACCGAUAUCCGGGUGUCAGGAGGACUCCUUCCAUCACCACGGUAUUGGAGAGAUAGAUUUGAAAGGGAGAGACAGACGGGAUGAUUAAAGGGACUUCAGGACGGAUUUGAACCUGGACCCCCUCAGCAGGGACUGAGCCCCUGCAUUGACCACCCCAAAAAUCCAAUGUUGAGCUGUUCAAUAGCAAUAAGAAAAAAUAAAUGUUGUCCAUAUUGGGAUAGUUACUGAACUCACAAGGCAUUUACAUCAUAUGAAAUCACACUGUUAAACAGAGAAACAUUAAUGUGAUCAAGUCAAGUAAUUCCUGUGAAUGGAAAUCUAAUGUAUUCGAAGGUUUGAUGUGUGCUGUGUCCAAUCCCAACGGGACAGAAGGUACGAUACGGUUUCUAAUACGGAGUGUAAUCCGGAGGGAGCUGGCAGAGCUGCUACAUGUUAUCAGUUUGCCACAGACAGCCACCUCUUGGGCCUCAUUCUGAGCGGCUGGAUCCAGAUCAGCCCACAUUCUCAAUGUCAAGAUGUUAUAAAUAGCCAGAACUGAUUUGUACAGCUCCUCUGGCAGCUCAGGUCGGCUCAGCGGGGGACGUGAUGUUCUCAGCCAUGGAUCCAUGGGUAGUCUGAGAGGGAGCAAUGACAAAGAAAAGGCAAACAUACACCUCGGAGGAUCAUACAGAAAUGUCCCUACAGAAACAUGUGUGUUUGCAUUCACAAAAUAUGAGUUUACAUAACACUGUAUAAUGCUGUGUACACUGCUCUAUGAUAGUCAAUGAAGGAAUGUAACUAGUACAUUUAGUACCUUAUUGAAGUCAUAUUUGGAAAUAAUUGUACUUUACUUAAUUAUAUCAGAAUGAGAAUGAAGUGUAUUGCCAGGUACGUCAAUAAACUUGAUUCUGAUUAAAUGCUACUUUAUACCACUACAAUUCAGAGGCACAUUUGAUAGUUUUCACUCUGCUAGUUAUCUAACACUCAACUACUUUUUACAUAAAGAACAAACAUAAGGCAUAUCUGAUAUGAUGCAAUACUUUAGGCAACUACUAAUCCACCUUGAUUUAAGUCACUCAAAUCGGCUCCACAUAGACAAACUAUGAAAAAUGCUCAUGUGUAUUUGUUAGCAAUAACAACUGUAUAUAAAACCCAUAAUAAUAUAAUACUGCGAGUAGAGCCAUUUUGAGAGAGAGAGGGCGAGCCAGGGAGUGAUCUAUUUCCAUUGGCCGUAGU